rnacentral:siRNA from 1 species
UAACGGCAUGUCUAUUUUGGC